CCGCCGGCGACCGGCGCACGGGUGAGUAACACGUAUGCAACCUGGCCGUGACAGAUGGAUAACCGGGAGAAAUCCCGCCUAAUACAACAUAAUGCCGGGAGGGGACAUCCCCUGCCGGUCAAAGGGGGCGACCCCGGUCACGGAUGGGCAUGCGGCGCAUUAGGUAGUUGGUGGGGGCAACGGCCCACCAAGCCGACGAUGCGUAGGGGUUCUGAGAGGAAGGUCCCCCACAUUGGAACUGAGACACGGUCCAAACUCCUACGGGAGGCAGCAG
rnacentral:rRNA from 1 species